AUGUUAGGUAAAGCCCUAGACAAUGAACAGGAAUGUACUCAAGGGAUGACAAUAUGUGUAAAAGAACUCUUACUAGACAGGGGCAAAGAAAAUGAACAGAGCAAGACCUUAUCUCUAAAGAAAAAAAAAAAAAACAUAGCUCACAGAUCUCAGAACAUACUUUACUUAUGUUUACUUGUUUCUUAUAAAGGAUAUUAUAAAGCAUACAACAAGGCUGGCGAUAAACCUUGUAUGCAGACUUACGAAAUUGAUCUGAAUAAAUGUGGCCCUAUGGUUUUGGAUGCUUUAAUCAAGAUUAAGAAUGAAAUUGAUUCUACCUUGACCUUCCGAAGAUCAUGCAGAGAAGGUAUCUGCAGCUCUUGUGCCACAAACAUCAACGGAGGCAACACUCUAACUUGUACCUGAAGGAUUGACACCACCCUCAAUAAAGUCUCAAAAAUCUACCCUCUUCCACAUAUGUAUGUGAUAAAGGAUCUGUUCCUGAUUUGAACAACUUCUAUGCACAGUACAAAUUCACUGAACCUUAUUUGAAGAAGAAGGAUGAAUCCCAGGAAGGCAAGCAGCAGUAUCUGCAGUCCACAGAAGAUCAUGAGAAACUGGAUGGGCUCUACGACUGCAUUCUCUGUGCCUGCUGUAGCACCAGCUGCCCCAGCUACUGGUGGAACGGAGACAGAUAUUUGGGGCCUGUGGUUCUUAUGCAGGCCUACUGCUGGAUGAUUGACUCCAGAGACGACUUCACAGAGGAGCACCUGGCCAAGCUGCAGGACCCGUUCUCUCUGUACCACUGCCACACCAUCAUGAACUGCACAAGGACCUGUCCCAAGGGUCUGAAUCCAGGGAAGGCUAUUGCUGAAAUCAAGAAAAUGUUGGUAACCUAUAAGGAAAAGAAAGUUGCAGCUUAACUGUUUCUAUGCCAAAAUAUAACUUGGAUCCAGCUCAGAGCUGAACUUAAUUUAUAUCUAAUUUGAGUUCUUUAAAGGUCUUGAAUUUCCUUGAAUACAGCAUGUAUAAUAAAAAUUUUAAGAAAUAAAUAAAUGUUAUUCUACUUUA